GACGAACGCUGGCGGCGUGCUUAACACAUGCAAGUCGAACGGAAAGGCCUCUUUCGGGGGGUACUCGAGUGGCGAACGGGUGAGUAACACGUGAGUAACCUGCCCUUGACUUUGGGUUAACUUCAGGAAACUGGGGCUAAUACAGGAUAGGAGCUCCUGCUGCAUGGUGGGGGUUGGAAUGUUUCGGCGGUUGGGGAUGGACUCGCGGCUUAUCAGCUUGUUGGUGGGGUAGUGGCUUACCAAGGCUUUGACGGGUAGCCGGCCUGAGAGGGUGACCGGCCACAUUGGGACUGAGAUACGGACCAGACUCCUACGGGAGGCAGCAGUGGAGAAUAUUGCACAAUGGGUGGAAGCCUGAUGCAGCAACGCCGUGUGCGGGAUGACGGCCUUCGGGUUGUAAACCGCUUUCGCUCAUGACGAAGCUUUGUGUGACGGUAGUGGGUAAGAAGCACCGGCUAACUACGUG
rnacentral:rRNA from 1 species